UACGUAGGGGGCAAGCGUUAUCCGGAUUUACUGGGUGUAAAGGGAGCGUAGACGGUAAAGCAAGUCUGAAGUGAAAUGCCAGUGCUCAACACUGGAACUGCUUUGGAAACUGUUUGGCUGGAGUGCAGGAGAGGUAAGUGGAAUUCCUAGUGUAGCGGUGAAAUGCGUAGAUAUUAGGAGGAACACCAGUGGCGAAGGCGGCUUACUGGACUGUAACUGACGUUGAGGCUCGAAAGCGUGGGGAGCAAACA
rnacentral:rRNA from 1 species